rnacentral:lncRNA from 1 species
CUUCUUGGUUAUUACUUUAUUGAGUAUCCACAUUCUCUUGCCAAUCUCACUACUUCAUGUUUUUAACUGAGGUAUAAUGUAGCCCAGGGUGACCCCAAACUUACUCUAUGUAGCUCUAGUUGGUCUUGAACUUGUGAUGAUUGCCUGGCCUCAGCUUCAUGAAUAGAAGAAUUACAAAUGUUAGCUAUCAUGUGGCUAACUAGGCAAGGAGUUAUUACCUGGAUGUCUUCCUCAUAAAUGUUUCCUAUUCUCUCCCAUAUAAAAUGGUUUUUACUUGUUAUUAUUUGAGGGGAGCACACACACGCAUCCAUGUACAUGAAGUCAGAGGACAACUUUCAGGAGCCAGUUCCUUCCUCCUUCCUUAUUGAUGGAGGUCCCUCAUUUCUGCACACUGCAUGGUCCAGGCUGCCCUGCAAGCUUCCAGGAGACCUCUAUUCCGUAUUGCUAUAGGGGUGUUGGGAUUAUAGAUGCAAGACUAUAUGUGGCUUUUUUGUGGGUUCCAGGGACCAAGCACAGAUUGUCAAGCUUGAUAAGCAAUGCUUUUAUCUGCUAACUUAUCUUGCUAGCUCACAUUGUGUGCUAUUCAUAAACAGGAGAAGGCUGGGAUUACCACUCCCUUUUCAGUCAUAUUUUCUCUCUCUCUCCCCCUCCUCUUCCUCAUCUU